AACUCUCAACCCCCUACUUUUGUAAUGAAAGCAGCGUGGGCUUGGUUUAUGGCUGUCUGUCGGCGUCAUAGUCGGCUCAGCUGAAAUAUACGAGCAACCCAUUUGAAAUAGACGGCUUGACUCGGCGUAAUAAUUAUUUCGCUGAGGACGUCUUCUUCAAAGCUAAGUGGUGCUUCUAAUGCAGCAAUACUUUAAGU
rnacentral:misc_RNA from 1 species